AGCCACGCUCACAAUGACUCACUGUCAGGCCACUGGGCAUGCUCUGUGAAUUAGGAGUAGCUGUGCGACUGUUGGAAUACGUCGCUGACAUUCAAAUCAACAUUUCUGCACCACUUGUUUUCCUCGGCAAUUUGACAGAAAUGCUCAGAAAAAUUAUUCUCAUUAUUUCUGGGACAUAUCUUGUAUAUCAUAUUUUUGAGAUAAAUUUUCAUAUUUUACAUAAAUAUUUUAUACUAAUUAAUAUUUUCCAAAAAAUGAUUUUAAUUCAGAAUUUAAGAAUAUAAAUAUUUUAAAACAAAUUAAUAGAAAUUGAAUUAUAUAAGAUAGUCAUUAUAAAUCAGUGUGUUUAGCUAAUAUAUUUUUGAAUGGAGAUUCAUUAAAAUUUGAAUUUUUCAUGACUAAUGAUC
rnacentral:lncRNA from 1 species